rnacentral:rRNA from 1 species
CGGGUAACGGGGAAUUAGGGUUCGAUUCCGGAGAGGGAGCCUGAGAAACGGCUACCACAUCUAAGGAAGGCAGCAGGCGCGCAAAUUACCCAAUGAAAACAGUUUCGAGGUAGUGACGAGAAAUAACAAUACAGGGCAUUUUAUGCUCUGUAAUUGGAAUGAUGGGAAUGUAAAACCCUCUCAGAGUAACAAUUGGAGGGCAAGUCUGGUGCCAGCAGCCGCGGUAAUUCCAGCUCCAAUAGUGUAUAUUAGAGUUGUUGCAGUUAAAAAGCUCGUAGUUGGAUUUCUGUCGUGGUCAUCCGGUACCGCCUGUAUGGGUGUGCACCUGGUUUGACCUCGGCUUUCUUCCGGUAGCCUUCCGCGCUUCACUGCGUGUGUUGGUGUUCUGGAACUUUUACUUUGAGAAAAAUAGAGUGUUUCAAGCAGGCUUGUCGCCCUGAAUACUUCAGCAUGGAAUAAUAAGAUAGGACCUUGGUUCUAUUUUGUUGGUUUCUAGGACCAAGGUAAUGAUUAAUAGGGACAGUUGGGGGCAUUCGUAUUUAACUGUCAGAGGUGAAAUUCUUAGAUUUGUUAAAGACGAACUACUGCG